CUGCAAAUCCCCAAGGCCUCAGGGACACCAGGAAGAGAACAGAAGAUCAGAAGGGUCCUCUACGAGCUUUUGAGUCUUGAGUUCUUCAGCCACCAUUUGUCCUAAAACAUCCACAAGGACAUCCCCUCUGUCCUCAAAGCACCCA